CCUACGGGAGGCAGCAGUGGGGAAUAUUGGACAAUGGGCGAAAGCCUGAUCCAGCCAUGCCGCGUGUGUGAAGAAGGCCUUCGGGUUGUAAAGCACUUUCAGUGGGGAAGAAAGCCUUGGGGCUAAUACCCUCGAGGAAGGACAUCACCCACAGAAGAAGCACCGGCUAACUCCGUGCCAGCAGCCGCGGUAAUACGGAGGGUGCGAGCGUUAAUCGGAAUUACUGGGCGUAAAGCGCGCGUAGGCGGUCUGAUAAGCCGGUUGUGAAAGCCCCGGGCUCAACCUGGGAACGGCAUCCGGAACUGUCAGGCUAGAGGGCAGGAGAGGAAGGUAGAAUUCCCGGGGUAGCGGUGAAAUGCGUAGAGAUCGGGAGGAAUACCAGUGGCGAAGGCGGCCUUCUGGACUGACACUGACGCUGAGGUGCGAAAGCGUGGGUAGCAAACAGGAUUAGAUACCCGUGUAGUC
rnacentral:rRNA from 1 species